UAGGGAAUCUUCCGCAAUGGACGCAAGUCUGACGGAGCAACGCCGCGUGAGUGAAGAAGGAUUUCGGUUCGUAAAACUCUGUUGUUAGAGAAGAACAGCGCAUAGAGUAACUGUUAUGCGUGUGACGUUAUCUAACCAGAAAUCCACGGCUAACUACGUGCCAGCAGCCGCGGUAAUACGUAGGUGGCAAGCGUUGUCCGGAUUUAUUGGGCGUAAAGCGAGCGCAGGCGGUCAAUUAAGUCUGAUGUGAAAGCCCCCGGCUCAACCGGGGAGGGUCAUUGGAAACUGGUUGACUUGAGUGCAGAAGAGGAGAGUGGAAUUCCAUGUGUAGCGGUGAAAUGCGUAGAUAUAUGGAGGAACACCGGUGGCGAAAGCGGCUCUCUGGUCUGUAACUGACGCUGAGGCUCGAAAGCGUGGGGAGCGAACAGG
rnacentral:rRNA from 1 species